CCUACGGGAGGCUGCAGUAGGGAAUUUCCCACAAUGGGCGAAAGCCUGAUGGAGCAACGCCGCGUGGGUGAAGAAGGUCUUCGGAUCGUAAAACCCUGUUGGUAGAGAAGAAAGUGCGUGAGAGUAACGGUUCACGUGUCGACGGUAUCUAACCAGAAAGCCAGGGCUAACGACGGGCCAGCAGCCGCGGUAAUACGUAGGUGGCAAGCGUUAUCCGGAUUUAGUGGGCGUAAAGAGAACGCAGGCGGUCUUUUAAGUCUGAUGUGAAAGCCUUCGGCUUAACCGGAGUAGUGCCUUUGACACUGGGAGACUUGAGUGCAGACGAGGCGAGUGCAACUCCAUGUGUAGCGGUGAAAUGCGUAGAUAUAUGGCAGAACCCCAGUGGCGAACGCGGCUCUCUGGUCUGUAACUGACGCUGAGGUUCGACAGCGUGGGUAGCAAACAGGAUUAGAUACCCUGGUAGUC
rnacentral:rRNA from 1 species